CUACGUAGGGUGCAAGCGUUGUCCGGAAUUAUUGGGCGUAAAGAGCUCGUAGGCGGUUUGUCGCGUCUGCUGUGAAAACCCGAGGCUCAACCUCGGGCCUGCAGUGGGUACGGGCAGACUAGAGUGCGGUAGGGGAGAUUGGAAUUCCUGGUGUAGCGGUGGAAUGCGCAGAUAUCAGGAGGAACACCAAUGGCGAAGGCAGAUCUCUGGGCCGUAACUGACGCUGAGGAGCGAAAGCAUGGGGAGCGAACAGG
rnacentral:rRNA from 1 species